AGAGUUUGAUCCUGGCUCAGCCUGAACGCUGGCGGCGUGGCUAAGACAUGCAAGUCGCACGGUGGCAGCAAUGCCACAGUGGCGAACGGGUGAGUAAUGAAUCGCUAACGUACCCCGGACUCCGGGAUAGCUCUCCGAAAGGGGAGGUAAUACCGGGUAACAUACCCCGCAGGCAUCUGCGGGGUCUCAAAGGUCCGCCGGUCUGGGAGCGGGCGAUUUCGUAUCAGCUAGUUGGUGGGGUAACGGCCCACCAAGGCGACGACGCGUAGCCGGACUGAGAGGUUGGCCGGCCACAUCGGGACUGAGACACUGCCCGGACUCCUACGGGGGGCUGCAGUAACGAAUCUUCCGCAAUGCACGAAAGUGUGACGGAGCGACGCCGCGUGUGGGACGAAGCCCUUCGGGGUGUAAACCACUGUCAGGGGGUACCAAGUUCUGAGGGCCCCCAGAGGAAGGCACGGCUAACUCUGUGCCAGCAGCCGCGGUAAGACAGAGGUGCCGAGCGUUAGGCGGAAUCACUGGGCUUAAAGCGUGUGUAGGCGGGCCGUUAAGUGCCCCGUGAAAUCCCACGGCUCAACCGUGGAACCGCGGGACAUACUGGCGGUCUUGAGAGACCUAGGGGCGAGCGGAACAAGCGGUGGAGCGGUGAAAUGCGUAGAUAUCGCUUGGAACGCCGACGGUGAAAACAGCUCGCUGGGGGUCUUCUGACGCUGAGACACGAAAGCCAGGGGAGCGAACGGGAUUAGAUACCCCGGUAGUCC
rnacentral:rRNA from 1 species